UACGGAGGGGGCUAGCGUUGUUCGGAAUGACUGGGCGUAAAGGGCGCGUAGGCGGCGAUUCAAGUCAGAUGUGAAAGGCCUGGGCUCAACCCGGGAACUGCAUUUGAUACUGGAUUGCUUGAGUCCGGGAGAGGAUGGCGGAAUUCCCAGUGUAGAGGUGAAAUUCGUAGAUAUUGGGAAGAACACCGGUGGCGAAGGCGGCCAUCUGGACCGGUACUGACGCUGAGGUGCGAAAGCGUGGGGAGCAAACAGG
rnacentral:rRNA from 1 species